rnacentral:lncRNA from 1 species
AAGAAAAUUUGCAAAUAUGGUUCAAGCCAAUGCGGGGAAUCCAGAAACGGUAAAAUGCCCUAGCAAAUGUUGCCAAAACUUAUUUCACCAAUAUUUUGAUAUAAUGUUUGAGCAUUUGAUCAUUAAUGGCACGGAUCUACUGUUUUUGCACUUAUGUAAUUCACAAACAUGACUAAAUUACGAGCAAAGUGUUUGAAUUAUGGCUUAAUUUCGUUUGAUUUGUAUAUCGUAGGCUAUAUUGAUGGACAUGUUGGAAUCCAUGAGAAAUGAUUCAAAAAAGGGCUAAAAUGAAGUAAAGUGAACGUUUAGGGACCAAAGCACAAAUACCUAAAAGAUGAACUGAAGGGGGAGUCGAGCAAUAGAUUGAGCUAAGUACCAAUUGGAGGGCAUAAUAGAGCAACGAAAUGACAAGAAACAAGAAAUUAAGACAAAAAUGGAGAAGAUAAAGAUUGAGGACCAAAACGGAAUGACAAGUAUCAAUUCUUGCCAAUUUUUCCCAUGCGGUUGCAUGACCCAUGGCAGGGAAAAAAUUGGCAAGAAUUGAUACUACUAUGCGGUAGCAUAGCUUAGUGCUGUGCAGUCGCAUAGUUAUUUUCUGGGGACCGUUUCUGCAGUUUCCUAUUUUCGAUCAACUCUUUUGGAACUCGAUUGGGAUGAGAUAUAAAAACCUAGAGUCAUCAUAUUUCGAGGAGGAACGCAUUGGGAAGCAAGAAAACACAUCUUGGAGAAGAUUUUGAGCGAGACUAAAUAGGAUUUAAUGAAGAUCAUCGAGAUUUCACGCUAAUUCAUAACUCGUGAUAUUGUAUCUUCAAGCCAAUAUGUAUUCUUUUAUUUUCUCCAUGUUGGUUAAAUAUUUCUGUACUAGGAGAUGAUGAACCUUGUGAUGUGAUAUUUAACUCUUUGUUUAAUGA